rnacentral:rRNA from 1 species
GACGUAGGGCGCGAGCGUUGUCCGGAUUUAUUGGGCGUAAAGAGCUCGUAGGCGGUCAGUCGCGUCUGCUGUGAAAACUCGGGGCUUAACCCCGGGCCUGCAGUGGGUACGGGCUGACUAGAGUGCGGUAGGGGAGACUGGAAUUCCUGGUGUAGCGGUGAAAUGCGCAGAUAUCAGGAGGAACACCGGUGGCGAAGGCGGGUCUCUGGGCAGUAACUGACGCUGAGGAGCGAAAGCGUGGGGAGCGAACAGG